rnacentral:rRNA from 1 species
GAUGAACGCUGGCGGCGUGCCUAAUACAUGCAAGUCGAGCGAACAGAUAAGGAGCUUGCUCCUUGGACGUUAGCGGCGGACGGGUGAGUAACACGUGUGUAACCUACCUAUAAGACUGGGAUAACUUCGGGAAACCGGAGCUAAUACCGGAUAACAUUUGGAACCGCAUGGUUCUAAAGUGAAAGACGGCUUUGCUAUCACUUAUAGAUGGACCCGCGCCGUAUUAGCUAGUUGGUAAGGUAACGGCUUACCAAGGCGACGAUACGUAGCCGACCUGAGAGGGGGAUCGGCCACACUGGAACUGGAACACGGUCCAGACUCCUACGGGAGGCAGCAGUAGGGAAUCUUCCGCAGUAGGCGAAAGCCUGACGGAGCAACGCCGCGUGAGUGAUAGGGGGUUUCGGCUCGUAAAACUCUGUUAUUAGGGAAGAACAAAUGUGUAAGUAACUGUGCACGUCUUGACGGUAACUAAUCAGAAAGCCACGGCUAACUACGUG